UGGUGGUUGCAAGAAGUAUAUUCGGAGCUACACACUUGCCUUUAUGGCAAAAAACCUUGCUCUGAGCGAAAGUCCCUGGGUACAAAUCUGAAAUAGAUGCAACGUAAGAUGUUGUAAAACAACCUUAGGUUCAUUCCACAGUUAUAUUGAAUCAGGAAGCGUACUUGUACGUGGAAUUGGUAUAAUUGCAGUUGUUCUAACCGUAAGCAAAGUGACAUACAAAUCUAACAGCAUAGGGCUCACUCUGAGGGCCACC
rnacentral:RNase_MRP_RNA from 2 species